rnacentral:lncRNA from 1 species
AUGCUCUCUCCUUGGCUCCCUCUUUCUCGGUCUCAGAGGUCAGAGGCGGCUGGCUGCCCACUGCUCCUAGGGAGGGCCUUACCUUUGCAGCUGCUCCACCUGCAGUGCCGACUUCCUGAGGCACUCUUCCAACUGAGAGAUCUAGACACAAUGAGAGGACUUCUGUUCUCAGCCAGACGUGCCAGCAACCCUGAGAAGAACCCAUCUGGCGGCUGCUUAAGUUAUUAAAUGGCUCGGAAAGCAAAAUGUCAAGAUCUGGACCUGUCACUUGCCAAACUACAGAAAGAGACUUAAUGAUCAGGUCCCUUGGUCAAGUCUGUGCAGGUGGCUGACAGCACCUGUCCUCUAGGAGUGUGAGAGGACUGAGAAGGUAAGUCCCUUGGUCAUGUUUGUGUAGGUGGCUGACAGCACCUGUCCUCUAGGUGUGUGCGAGGACUGAGAAGGUAAGUCCCCUGGUCAUGUCUGUGCAGGUGGCUGACAGCACCUGUCCUCUAGGAGUGUGAGAGGACUGAGAAGGUAAGUCCCCUGGUCAUGUCUGUGCAGGUGGCUGACAGCACCUGUCCUCUAGGUGUGUGAGGACUGAGAAGGUAAGUCCCCUGGUUAUGUCUGUGCAGGUAGCUGACAGCACCUGUCCUCUAGGUGUGCAAGAGGACUGAGAAGGUAAGUCCCUUGGUCAUGUCUGUGCAGGUGGUGAUGAUCAGGAGGAGAUAGAGACAAUAUUACGUUGCCUGAUAGCUCAUCUUCACGGUCCUAGAAAACAAAAUGAAAUUUGAAUCGAACAUUAAAGGUGCUCCAGUGGCAACAGGUCAUUUGAUUUACCUUUGCUCUAUAGAAGGCUAACAAUCUCUUCCUGUGUUUUUCUUGAAAUUCUGAAACCUGAGGAGACAACAAGCUCACUGUAGGUGCUGCUCAGGCUCACCCUACACUUCCUGAGGAAACACACGGCURCAAAGGACUGUUAGUGUGGGGACCAACACUCUGUCUUGCCCUUCCCCAGUAGACCCCCUUCUGUACCCACAGGCAGGUUCCAUUUGGUAGGGAGGCUCCUGCCGGCUGCCCAUGGCCAGCUGCUGUCCAGAAUGGAUGCUUGGCACAGAUGUCCCUCCAUAGGGAAGGCCAGCAGGAGGCCAAAUGCAAACACAGAUGAGCCUGUUCCCUGCCAAGGGCUGUGUCUCCCUGGUGAUGUUCCUGUCGCCCUGAUGUGGAAAGGCACAAGACCCCGCUGACU